UGAGAUUUUCAUGUAAAAGAAACUUGUUUCUAAUUUAAAUAAAAAUAACAGAGGAAAAAAAUACAAAGAUGUUGUCUUGGCCUCUAGGCUUCUUUUCUUCCUGUCUAAGUUUCCUAGCUGCCAUCUUUCCUUCAUUAUGUACUUGCUCCCUGGAAUGAUGUGUGGAGUUGCUACAGGUCAAGAGCAAUGGUGCCAAGAAAUUAUGGCCUGAAACUUACAGUGCCUUAAGAUAAAAUAAAAUUCCUCCCUAGUUUUUAAGGUUGAUAGUAUCAGUUAUGCAGUCACAGUGAUGGAAAGUUGACUAAUAAAAGAGAAUGGAAGGGAAGGGCAACAAGACAGGAUUCACAUCUUAGUCCACGUACACAGAUGAAGGUGGAUGAAAUCCCAGUGUCCAGCCGCUGUGCUAAAGAAAGAUCCGGCCUGUACUGGAAAUGAUAGAUACUCGGAAAGACAUCCCACUCCAACAGCCUCCAUAACCCUAGAAAGACCAAUAUUUCCACUCAGUGGCAGAUGUCCUUACCACAGGAAUUCACCUUUUGGCUCAAGCAGCCAGUCAGGUUUGUUCCAUCUCCCAGGAAUUUGAUUUGCAUUUACUGAGAUCAUUUUUUAAGGAUAUUUAAAGUGUACCAAGUCAAACCAGGAGCAGCAGAGAUGAUUCCCAUAAAAAAAGAAGAGACUAAAUCAUAGACAUAGAAAAGCAAAGGAGGAAAGGAGCAUGAAAACCCAGCAGGACUGUGUACUCAUUCCAGGCAACUAGAUAAUUCCUGGCUAAGAAAGCCCUGUUGGGCAUGAGUGAUUCCUGAGUCAAACUAAAGGGAGUAAUACUCACAGUGUGUAGAAAGCAUCACAACUUAUAAUCAGAAUCAUGCUCUCCCUUGGACAUGUGAAGAAUUCCACAGCAGAAGUGAGAAAAUUGGGAAGCUGCUGGGCGUGGGGGUGGGGUUGCAGCACUUCCCUUUCCUCUUCUGGCACUAAUAUUUUAUUUGCUCCUAUAAAGAUAAAUGUUUUAGUAAUGAAAUCUGCCUUUCAAAAAACUCUUCACGUAUUUCUUCUAUUUCAUCUUUAAUGAAAUAUCCUAAAAACAUUCUUAUGAAACAAUGGUUUAAUAAAUGAAUGGUUUAUAAAUUUUUAGGCUGCCUUUGGUUGUGCAUAUAAUAAAUGUCCAUUAAGAGAUACAAUACAGGGAGUUGAAAUCAACAAAAAAUAAUGCAUUUUCAAGUUUGAUUCUUUUCUGAGCUUAAAAUCCAGGAUUGCCAGAGCACUGUAAGCUGGAUCUGUUACUACUGAUACAGCAUUUUGUCAAUUCCAAACACAUUUUCUCAGAAGAAAACAAAACAGUAAUUCCUUAUCAGGUUUAACAUUUGACCGGUUUCACAGAUACUUAGUAAUCAUUGUAUGCAUUUCAAUAUUAUAAGUCAUCUUUAUUUAUUUACAUUAUACCAACUGAGGUUGGUUCAAUAAUUGUAGCAAAGCAGUAGCCACACAGACAGCAAUGUAAAAGCAUUUGUAUGCUGGGCUGUGAGACUUUAUUUUGAACUUAAUAAAUCAUAGUUUUUUUGAUA